ACCUAGCUGACGAGUCCCAAGCAGGAAGAAACGCGCGUCCUGGCU
rnacentral:hammerhead_ribozyme from 1 species